rfam:Anopheles dirus strain WRAIR2 unplaced genomic scaffold supercont1.22, whole genome shotgun sequence.
UUAACGGAUUUUAUAAAAUCCAAAAAUUGUAGAAAUGAGAGUUUA